rnacentral:lncRNA from 1 species
CUAACCUGGAAACGGCUAAAGCUGGCGAAGGGCAGCGGCUAGAAGGAUCAGACCCGAGCUGUGCGGAUCUGAAGCUGUGCCCUCACUCGAAGGCGCACACACUGGUGCCCCUGCGCUCCACCAGCACUGACAGCAGCCGGCUGCCCCAGCUCCUCCGGCUGCUGCGGCGGCCACAGGCGUCGCCCUGACACCACCGAGAAGGGGGGGACCGGGGGGAAAGCCGGCGCGACCCCCAGCCCGGCCCCGCCGCUCGGCGCCCCCUCCCCUUCCUCUCUUUCCCUCCCCUUCCCAGCAGGGCGAGACGAGGCAUGGGGGCCGGUGGCCGUGGUGGCCCGGCGGCAGGUGUAGGCACACGGCGGCAGCGGCACCCCGCGACCCUUCAGACCCUUCAGGUAAGGGCGGCCGGGUGGGGGGCUCCCACCACCGCCGUGGGGGCCGAGGAGGCGCCCCCGGGCCGCCGGGCGGAGGGCAGGGAGGCCGGGGGCGGCGGGGCGGGCCGGGGCGGGGCCGUGCCGCUGGCUCCCCGGGCGGCGCUGGGGCCCUGCCAGAACCAUUUUGGUUCGCGGGGUGGCGGCAGCGCAGCCCCCGACGGCCCCAGCGCGGGGCUCCCGCUGUCAAACCCGGCGCGGCAGUCCCCGAAAGGCUUAGUGAAGGGGUGUUCUGCCCGGCUAGGCGGCUGUCGAAAGUGUCUUAUUUAUUUUUAUUUUUUUAAUCUUUUCGGCCGGCUGUCGGAGCGAGGGAAGCGCCUGCGCCGGCUGGGGCUGCGGCGAGCGUCGAGGAUCGCUGGAAGAGUGAAUUUCUCCUGCCCGAGUAACGGGGAACGGGGCAAACCUGCCGCGGCUCCCAGGUGGAGGUACUGCCAACUGUGCAGCUUGUUAUUCACGCGAGGACUCCUUUAA